GAGUGGCGGACGGGUGAGUAACACGUGGGUAACCUGCCCUAAAGUGGGGGAUAACAUUUGGAAACAGAUGCUAAUACCGCAUAAAACCUAACACCGCAUGGUGUAGGGUUGAAAGAUGGUUUCGGCUAUCACUUUAGGAUGGACCCGCGGUGCAUUAGUUAGUUGGUGAGGUAAAGGCUCACCAAGACCGUGAUGCAUAGCCGACCUGAGAGGGUAAUCGGCCACACUGGGACUGAGACACGGCCCAGACUCCUACGGGAGGCAGCAGUAGGGAAUCUUCCACAAUGGACGAAAGUCUGAUGGAGCAACGCCGCGUGAGUGAAGAAGGUUUUCGGAUCGUAAAACUCUGUUGUUGGAGAAGAAUGUAUCUGAUAGUAACUGAUCAGGUAGUGACGGUAUCCAACCAGAAAGCCACGGCUAACUACGUGCCAGCAGCCGCGGUAAUACGUAGGUGGCAAGCGUUGUCCGGAUUUAUUGGGCGUAAAGCGAGCGCAGGCGGUUUCUUAAGUCUGAUGUGAAAGCCUUCGGCUCAACCGAAGAAGUGCAUCGGAAACUGGGAAACUUGAGUGCAGAAGAGGACAGUGGAACUCCAUGUGUAGCGGUGAAAUGCGUAGAUAUAUGGAAGAACACCAGUGGCGAAGGCGGCUGUCUGGUCUGUAACUGACGCUGAGGCUCGAAAGCAUGGGUAGCAAACAGGAUUAGAUACCCUGGUAGUCCAUGCCGUAAACGAUGAGUGCUAGGUGUUGGAGGGUUUCCGCCCUUCAGUGCCGCAGCUAACGCAUUAAGCACUCCGCCUGGGGAGUACGACCGCAAGGUUGAAACUCAAAGGAAUUGACGGGGGCCCGCACAAGCGGUGGAGCAUGUGGUUUAAUUCGAAGCAACGCGAAGAACCUUACCAGGUCUUGACAUCCUUUGACCACUCUAGAGAUAGAGCUUUCCCUUCGGGGACAAAGUGACAGGUGGUGCAUGGUUGUCGUCAGCUCGUGUCGUGAGAUGUUGGGUUAAGUCCCGCAACGAGCGCAACCCUUAUUACUAGUUGCCAGCAUUUAGUUGGGCACUCUAGUGAGACUGCCGGUGACAAACCGGAGGAAGGUGGGGACGACGUCAAAUCAUCAUGCCCCUUAUGACCUGGGCUACACACGUGCUACAAUGGAUGGUACAACGAGUUGCGAGACCGCGAGGUUUAGCUAAUCUCUUAAAACCAUUCUCAGUUCGGAUUGUAGGCUGCAACUCGCCUACAUGAAGCCGGAAUCGCUAGUAAUCGCGGAUCAGCAUGCCGCGGUGAAUACGUUCCCGGGCCUUGUACACACCGCCCGUCACACCAUGAGAGUUUGUAACACCCAAAGCCGGUGAGGUAACCCUUCGGGGAGCCAGCCGUCUAAGG
rnacentral:rRNA from 1 species